GAGUAGAAACUUUCAUAAACAAGAUGGAAGUUAAAUGGAAUUAUUGAUUUCUAUUCGAUCCAACUAGAAAGUUUCGCGUAAUGCGCGGAGAUCGAAAAUCGUGAUAACCUCUGCUAAGCCCGAAGACAGCGGCAGAUACGAGUGCAUUGCCGAAAGUACUUCAGGUCACCGGGCCUCCCUUGCGGCCCAACUUCUAGUCGCACACGAUACCAGAAUUCCGGAGACAACGACAGCGGCAUGGCCGAGGCAGGAGCAGCCCUGUCCAAUAGCAGGAGACUUUUGCAUGAACGGUGGUACCUGCCUAUUUUUUGAGACUGUCGGUGAACCAGCAUGCAGAUGCGCGGACGGCUUCACGGGUCUACGGUGCGAGACUAAGGACAUCAGCACCGGAAAUAUGGAUAAGUUUUCUUCGUUCGCCGAGGACGUGACGCUCGCCCGCUUCUAGCGCAUCUAGCGGCACUGUCAAGCUUGCACAUCAGGACAUUCAUCGUGUUUUGUUUUGUUGUAGCCUUACCCAUACCCCUUUUCCAUUCCUACCAAAGUUCCUGCAUUCGCGUCUUCGUCUUCAACAAUCUUCUUGGGCUCUCCUCUUAUCGUAUAUUACUCACAACAUUCCUUACGAUUCCUAUUUAUUCAAGGAUACGACUGUUCAUCGACAACCUAUCAUCUUACACGUUAUACAAUCUACAAUUACAAAUCGAAUUAUUAUUUCUUUUGUUAUAAUACAUUUUACAUUUUGUUCAUUUAUUUUUUAUUUUAUUUGCUAUUACUUCUACUACGUCAUUCUGAUCGAAGGAUACGACAUCGAUUCUACGUUCAUUACGCUAAGGAGAGCCUCAGGAGACGAAGCGAGUCGCCGACCAACGUCGUUCUCGCGUAUCCUGCAUCCUGGACCGUCGUGAACCGAAAGAGCUAAAAGGAACCGUCAAGGAGCAUACUUUUAACUCCAAACAGAUCUUCCUCGCUAAACUUCGAACUUCCAUAGACGAUGAUAACAACAACAACAAGAACGAUGCUGUAAUCGUAAUCAUCGUGUGUGUGUGAUAAUCAGAUUAUCCCGAAGAAACGUGAAAGCAUCGAUCUAUGAGUCUAGAAGAGGAUAGCAAGAAGAUGUUUAUUAUCGAUCCAAUUGAAUUCUGCGGUCUGAGUUAAUGGUUUUAAAAAAAGAGAAUAUACACGGAUGACGAUAUUAUCGAUCGUGGUUUAGUUUUUUAUAAGAUAGAAAGAUAUAUAUAUAUGACGUGACCAAGAAAACCUUUCGAAGCAGCCAGUUAAUUCGUUUCGAUCGACUCGAGUUAUAUAUACAUAGGAAUAAGUAAUUUAAGCUUUUUAUCACGGAACGGAUUGAUUUUUCUAAAACUCAUCGAUAAAAACGUCAUUUCCGUGUAUACUCUUUUUCCUUUUAUUAUCCAUUUAAGGACGGAUCAAAAAAAAGGAAGAACGACGAAUUUUCUUUGUUCAAAAAAUAUGAAAGAAAAAGAAAAAAAGAAACAAAUCAACGUGUAAACGAAAGUAUGCUUCGAAUGAUUCAAUGAUAAACGUAAAAAGAUAAACUAACGAAGGGUAUGUGAUAAAGAAAACUAAAAACUAAAACAAAAAAAAUAUUUAGUAAAGGAUUAUCACGAAGGACGUCGUAAAUGUUAUCUAGGUCACGUGAAAAAUUCGCAAUAGUAACACGUGGACGAAAAGAUUUCAUUUAAGAAGAAAACGAAGUGCUGAACAGCGCGAGGAUCAUCUUUGGAUCCUUUAAUAGGAUUUUCAGGAUCAAUGCGUCCUUCGAUAUGAUAGGCAGCCCAGGUAGACACAGCAGGCGAUUUCUUUGAGGCGAACGAGUGUAAUCCGAACGGCAAAAGAAAAUUUGAAAAAUCCUUUAUAGUAUCAACUACUACGUUGAAUCGAGAAUCGAAUUUUACAAUGAUCGAGAAACGAAAGAAAAGAAAGAACCCACAAAUUAUUUCCUCGUUUUAACGUUAACGUUCAUGCGGGGAUUAUUAUCGGAUUAUUUAAUUAAAAAAAAAUUUGUCGCGUUAAAAAGAAAAAAAAAAAGAAGAUAAAAAGUAGAAGGAAAUGGAGAGACAGAGAGAGAGAGAUAGAAAGAAAAAUAUUAGGAAAAAUAAUAUUAUUAUUUAUAUUUAAACGUCAAUCUUUAAUUAAAUCGCCUCAAAGGGAUGACCUCGUAUUUAACAACGGGAUAAACCAUGUGCGAAGGAGAAGAUCCUUACGUUUAUGAUAAAAGCACGCUCCUCGACAGUUUUCAAAGAAAUUCUUCGAGCAUACUUUCGGUUUCGCUGACGCCGUUCAGGACGCUUUUGUACAAAGUAUUCCUUAUAUCUCCUUGACCCGUUCCAGUGCCUCUUCUUGUAAAAUCAGAAACGCGAACGUCACACGAAUCGUUCAUUUUGCCAAAAAAUUUCAAAUAUAUAUAUAUAUAGAUAUAUACACAACAUUAAUGUAAUCGAAAUAUUGCGUUAAUACUAAAGUAAUAACGGUUAUUAUUAUUUACAAUUUAAUCAUUUUGAUUAUUACUUUCAAUUUAUAUUAUCGCGUGUUGAAUUUAAAUCGUAACAAUUAUCUAUAGAUAAAAAAAAUAAUAAUAAAUUUACGCGUUUUUAUUGCAAGAGUUUAAUGAAAACUAUUCGGAAUGUAAAAUUAUAAUUAAAACAUUGAUUCGAAAUAUAUUAUGACGAAAACCGAAGCCUUUAUAAUGAGUAGAAUCAAUAUUUGACGAUUCGUUAUUGAAUCGAUACUACGUAAAACGUUUUUAGUAAAAAAUAAUAAAAAAAUAAUUCAACGAUCGUUCAACCGUAAUUAUUUUGGUCCCAACGUAAUAAUACAAAAAAAAAAAAAUUCGAAUCUUUUUAAUUAAAUACGAAAGAGAAAAAUAAAUAAAUCUUCGAAUAAGUUUAAAUUACGAUGGCAAAAAUAAAAUAUAUAUAUAUAUAUAUAUAUAUAUAUUAAAAGAUCGUAAAAUUGCUGAAACAGAGGGAGAUUUUGGUGGCGGGUGGGGAGCAGCGGGGUUGGUAAUAAAGCCGUAAUUAUUUCAACAACGGCAUAACGCGUCACGCGUCACUAUAAAAGAUUCAACGGCCUAAAAAGCAAAGUGACGGGUUGACGUUACGUCGAUAAAUAUACCCCGGGUGCUCUCCAUUUCACGAGAUUCGACAAUGGACUCCAUUUGCUAUUCUAUCUCGGCUCGUGGCGAUGCUAUUCGACGACUUUCGAGUCGAGUUACGUUCUCCCUCAACUCUUAUUCGAAUGGAAAAUUAGAAGCUACCUUGUUCGAAGAGUUCUCUUUCGUGUAUGUGCAUAUGCAUGCGUGUGUGUGUUUUGUAUAUGGAGUUGUCCAACUCUGUUAACACUUUGAUGAAGCUAUACACACCUUCCUAACGGAAUGAAUAAAUUUUACUAAUAUUUCCAGAUUAAAUUAGAAGAUUAUUAUAUUAUUAUUAUUAUUAUUUGAAGAGAGGGUGUGUAGCACGUUAACAAACAAAUAAUCUACCUUUGUCUUUGACGUAGGAAAAAAUACACAUGCAUAUGAGCGUGCGCACAAUGAAAAAAAGAAACAAAAAUUAUUCAAUAUCAAAAAUAUAAAAAUACAAACGUGUAUACGUCCGUGUUUCUCGAUGAACCAGGAAGAGGCACGUGCGCGUGCGCAAACUUUUUACAUUUUAGACACUUAAAAAAAGAGAGAGAGAGAGAGAGAGAGAGAGAAUGUGAGAAAAAAUUGAGAGAAAGAGAAAUUCGCAUUAUAGAUAGUCGAUGAACGAACGUAGCGAAGGAAAAGUGUUCCAACGUUCUCGAAGCGUGAGAAUAAUACGAACCAACAAAGUACUUCGCGAACGUAGGAUAUAUUCUGAGAGAAAAGUUUAAGGCGAAUAUUAAAUUGAAAGAAGAAGAAAAAGAAGAAGAAGAACAACAACAACAACAACACAACAACAAAUAAGUUAUGAUAAAUAAUUAACAAUGGAAAAAAAAAUUGAUUAAAAAGAAAAAAAAAGCAGUGUAAUGAACAAUUAUAAGAUCGCCGUAGCGUAUGACAUGUCCGUGCAAGCUUACUAGUGCCGCCGUUGUGCUUUUUCGUUAAAAUUCCUUUUGUCGCUCGUACCUAUCGAACGAGAUUCGUAUGAAAGUCGUCGUGAGUCAGUCAUUCACGACUCGUCGUUCCGUGUGUCAUCAAACGUAACGUCUUUUCAUUGUAAAAGAAUAAUGAAAUAAUGAUUAAAAGAAAAAAAAAAAAAAAACAGAGGGAGAAAGAAAGAGAGAGAGA